rnacentral:rRNA from 1 species
GCGUGAGUGAUGAAGGCCUUCGGGUUGUAAAGCUCUUUUGGCGGGGACGAUGAUGACGGUACCCGCAGAAUAAGCCCCGGCUAACUUCGUGCCAGCAGCCGCGGUAAGACGAAGGGGGCUAGCGUUGUUCGGAAUUACUGGGCGUAAAGCGCGUGUAGGCGGUUGUUCAAGUCGGGUGUGAAAGCCUUGAGCUCAACUCAAGAAAUGCACUCGAUACUGGAUGACUUGAGGACCGGAGAGGAUAGUGGAAUUCCCAGUGUAGUGGUGAAAUACGU